ACUUUUUGUGACAGCUAAAAAAACGUAAGAUACAUACCGUAUAUCCACACUUGGAUCUAAGAACCGAAAUUCCACACGUGGCAGUCGAGAAUGAACCGCACUAAAGUAAAGAACGUGACUUGUCAAAUAUCAAAAUGGCUACCUUAACGGAUGACAUGGUAUAAUAAAAUUAGAAGCCAUAUCGUAUAAUAGAAAUAAACAAAAUUUUCUUGUAACUUUAUGUAAUAUCACCAACUCACCACUUGUGAACAGCAGAUUUUCGAAGCUGUACACACAGUUGCGAUAGUUUAUUGAAUCCUACCUUCUCUACAUUUACCAUGGACUCUUCCAGCAGAAAUUGUAGGCAAAUAUCUAUAUGUCCCUCCUUUGAAUGUCCAUUUAUGGAAUCAAAUUUACCAUGUCAAAAAUACAUAUAAAAAUGAAGUUUUCUUAAAUCAAUUUCUAUAUUUAUAGAAAUUCAUUUAAGUACAGAUUCAAAUUGAGAUUGAAAAAUUUGAACGUGCCCUCUUAGUAAAUACAAAACUUCAAGAAAUUGAUUUAUCAAACAACAAAUUCGCUACGUUGACGACUGAGGCCAAGACUGAAUUUAAUUUUUUGGGAAAUUUAAUAGACUUGAGGUAUCUCAAUUAGAGGGAGAAUCUAUUAGAAUGUCUGCUUUCGUCCACUGUGGCAAAAAUAGAAGAAGUAAAUUAUAGAAUUAAACAAAUUUCGUUGGUAAUUUUAUCUAAUAUCCCCACACCAUGUCACAUCAUAUAAAAUUUGUAUGAUCAACAGUACAACUGGAUGAAAAAUCGGAUGAUUAUAUGCCAUAACAGCUUCCUCUAUUUAUACCAUAGUGUAAGAAAAAUUCACAUUAUUUAAUAGAUUUGUGUUCAAAUUUAGAUACCUCAAGCCUAGUAAAUUGUCCAAAAACUUCAAUUCAAUUUUUGUAUCACUCGUAAACGUUGUUGUUGGGCAAAUCAAGGUCUUGAGGUCUUCUAUUUACAAAAGGAGCUACAUCCAAAUUAUUUUUAUUUAUAUUAAUUUCUAAAUUUAUAGAAAUUCAUUUAAGUACCAAUAAUUUGAAUGUGGAUCCUUCCUCACAAAACUGAUAUAAAAACGUGUCAGAAUUAAAUUUGUGUAACAUUUAAAUUAGGAACUUUAAUAUAAACUAUUUUUAUUUAUACAUAAACAUCAACAUGUUAAUUGUUAGUUGAGCUUCAAUGAAUAUAACGUCGAUGAUUUA